GAUUGCAGGCUGCAACCCGCCCUGCAUGAAGUCGGAAUUGCUAGUAAUCGCGGAUCAGCAUGCCGCGGUGAAUACGUUCCCGGGCCUUGUACGCACCGCCCGUCACACCAUGGGAGCCGGUAAUACCCGAAGUCAGUAGUCCAACCUCGUGAGGACGCUGCCGAAGGUAGGAUUGGCGACUGGGGUGAAGUCGUAACAAGGUAGC
rnacentral:rRNA from 1 species